AGAGUUUGAUCAUGGCUCAGGAUGAACGCUAGCGGCAGGCUUAACACAUGCAAGUCGAGGGGUAACAGGGAUUGCUUGCAAUCCGCUGACGACCGGCGCACGGGUGCGUAACGCGUAUGCAACCUACCUUCUACAGGGGGAUAGUCAAUAGAAAUGUUGAAUAAUACCCCAUACGAUCUUUGAAUAGCAUUAUUUAAAGAAGAAAGUUCCGACGGUAGAAGAUGGGCAUGCGUCCUAUUAGUUAGUUGGAGAGGUAACGGCUCCCCAAGACAUCGAUAGGUAGGGGUCCUGAGAGGGAGACCCCCCACACUGGUACCGAGACACGGACCAGACUCCUACGGGAGGCAGCAGUGAGGAAUAUUGGACAAUGGAGGCAACUCUGAUCCAGCCAUGCCGCGUGCAGGAAGACUGCCCUAUGGGUUGUAAACUGCUUUUAUACAGGAAGAAAUGUACCUACGUGUAGGUAUUUGACGGUACUGUACGAAUAAGGAUCGGCUAACUCCGUGCCAGCAGCCGCGGUAAUACGGAGGAUCCAAGCGUUAUCCGGAAUCAUUGGGUUUAAAGGGUCCGUAGGCGGUCUUUUAAGUCAGAGGUGAAAUCCUACAGCUCAACUGUAGAAUUGCCUUUGAUACUGAAGGACUUGAGUUAUU
rnacentral:rRNA from 1 species